GUCAGCUCGUGUCGUGAGAUGUUGGGUUAAGUCCCGCAACGAGCGCAACCCUCGCCUUUAGUUGCCAGCAUUUAGUUGGGCACUCUAGAGGGACUGCCGGUGAUAAGCCGGAGGAAGGUGGGGAUGACGUCAAGUCCUCAUGGCCCUUACGGGCUGGGCUACACACGUGCUACAAUGGUGGUGACAGUGGGCAGCGAGACGGCAACGUCGAGCUAAUCUCCAAAAACCAUCUCAGUUCGGAUUGGGGUCUGCAACUCGACCCCAUGAAGUUGGAAUCGCUAGUAAUCGCGGAUCAGCAUGCCGCGGUGAAUACGUUCCCGGGCCUUGUACACACCGCCCG
rnacentral:rRNA from 14 species